rnacentral:rRNA from 1 species
UACGUAGGGGGCGAGCGUUGUCCGGAUUCAUUGGGCGUAAAGAGCUCGUAGGCGGCUUGGCAAGUCGGGUGUGAAAACUCCAGGCUCAACCUGGAGACGCCACCCGAUACUGCCAUGGCUAGAGUCCGGUAGGGGACCACGGAAUUCCUGGUGUAGCGGUGAAAUGCGUAGAUAUCAGGAGGAAUACCGAUGGCGAAGGCAGGUCUCUGGGCUGACACUGACGCUCAUGCACGAAAGCGUGGGGAGCAAACAGG